CCUCCCGUCCCGCCUCCUCUUCCUCUCGCCUUGGUCCGCUCUCCUUGCCUUGCUUGGUCGUCUUUCUUACCCUCCUUCCUGCUGAAAUUCCUCCUCUUCCUUCCUUUUCUUGCUCUCCUUCCUCCCGUCCCACCUCCUCUUCCUCUCUCCUUGUCCCGCUCUCCUUCCUCUGCUUCAUCAUCUUUCCUUCCUUCCUCCUGAACUUCCUCCUCUUUCUUCCUUUUCUUCUUUUCCUUCCUCUUCUUCAUCCUCCUCUUCCUCUCUCCUUAUCCCGCUCUCCUUGCCUUGCUUGGUCGUCUUUUCUCCCCUCCUUCCUGCUGAACUUCCUCCUCUUCCUUCCAUUUUCUUCUUUUCCUUCCUCUUCUUCAUCCUCCUCUUCCUCUCUCCUUGGUCCGCUCUCCUUGCCUUGCUUGGUCGUCUUUCUUACCCUCCUUCCUCCUGAACUUCCUCCUCUUCCUCCCUCCUUGUUCUCCUCUCUUCCCUCUCCUUCAUCAUCUUUCCUCCUCUCUUUCCUCCUGAAUUUCCUCCUCUUUCUUCCUUUUCUUGCUCUCCUUCCUCUUCUUCAUCCUCCUCUUCCUCCCUCCUUGUCCCACUCUCCUUCCUCUCCUUUGUCAUCUUUUUUCCUCUUUUUCUUCCUGAACAUUUUCCUCUUCUUUCCUUUUUUCCUUUCCUUCCUCUUCUUCAUCUUCCUCUUCCUCUCUCCUUUUUCUCCUCUUUUUCCUCUGCUUUACCUUCCUUCCUUUCCUCAUUUCUCAUCUCCUGCCUCUUCUUUCUCCAUUUUCUCUUCCUUCUCCUGCUCUUCCUAAACUUCCUCUCUUCCUUCCUUCCUUCCUGCCCUUCAUCCCUUCUUUUCCUCCUCUCUUUUCUUCUGCUCUUCUCCUUUUCUUCCUCCUGAAUCUCUUCUUUUUCCUUCCUUGUUUUCUUUCCUUCCUCUUCCUAUUCUUCAUCUUUUCCUGCUUCCUCUUCCUCUCUCCUUUUCCUCCUCUCUUUCCUCUACUUCAUCUCCUUUCCUCCCCUCCUUCCUUCCCUUUCCUCCUAAACUUCCUCUUCCUCCUUCCCUUCUUUUCCACCUCUCUUUCCUCUCCUUCCUCCUCACUUUUCCUCCUAAACUUCUCCCUUCCUCCUCCUCUCCUUCCUCCUCUCUUCCUCCCCCCCCUUUUCUUCCUGAACCUCUUCCUCUCCUUCCUCUUCCUUUUUCCUCUUCCUUUUUCCUCUCUCCUAAACUUUUCCCUUCCUCUUCUCCUCUUUU
rnacentral:lncRNA from 1 species